UAUAACUGGAGGAAGGUGGGGAUGACGUCAAAUCAUCAUGCCCCUUAUGACCUGGGCUACACACGUGCUACAAUGGACGGUACAAAGAGCUGCAAGACCGCGAGGUGGAGCUAAUCUCAUAAAACCGUUCUCAGUUCGGAUUGUAGGCUGCAACUCGCCUACAUGAAGCUGGAAUCGCUAGUAAUCGCGGAUCAGCAUGCCGCGGUGAAUACGUUCCCGGGCCUUGUACACACCGCCCGUCACACCACGAGAGUUUGUAACACCCGAAGUCGGUGGGGUAACCUUUUUGGAGCCAGCCGCCUAAGGUGGGACAGAUGAUGGGGGAAGUCGAUAACGAGCCAG
rnacentral:rRNA from 1 species